AUGAAGGCCGCCGCCCAGUUAGUCAUCGAGAGCCGGGACGUGGUCUACGUCCCCGAGGCUAUCGAGGCGCAAUACGAGUACCGGACGACACGUGUCAGCCGCGAGGGCGGCGUCCUCAAGGUACACCCCACGACCACCCGCUUCACCUUCCGGACCGCCCGGCAGGUGCUCCUGCUCGAGGUCAUGCUUGUCGGCUGGGGCGGGAACAACGGCUCCACGCUCACGGCCUCGGUGCUGGCCAACCGACUGCGUCUGUACUGGCCCACGCGCAGCGGCCGCAAGGAGGCCAACUACUACGGCUCACUGACUCAGGUGGGCACCGUGAGCCUGGGAUUGGACGCCGAGGGCCAGGAGGUGUUCAUGCCCUUCAGUGCCCUGCUGCCCAUGGUGGGGCCCAACGACCUCGUGUUUGAUGGCUGGGACAUCUCGUCGCUGAACCUAUCCGAGGCGAUGCAGCGCGCAAAGGUGCAGGUUUGGGAGCUGCAGGAGCAACUGUGGCCGCACAUGGAAGCCCUGCGGCCUCGGCCUUCCGUCUACAUCCCUGAGUUCAUCACGGCCAACCAGAGCAUGCGCGCGGACAACCUCAUACCCGGCUGGCGCACGCAGCAGCUGGAGCAGAUCCACAAGGGCAUCCGAGAUUUCCCCUCUAGGGCGGGACUGCACAAAGUCAUCGUGCUGUGGACGGCCAACACAGAGCGCUUCUGUGAGGUGGUUCCAGGCCUCAACGACACGGCCAAGAACCUGCUGCACACCAUUGAGCUUGGCCUGGAGGUGUCUCCCUCCACGCUUUUCGCCGUUGCCGGCAUCCUGGAGGGCUGUGCCUUCCUCAGUGGGUCCCCGCAGAACACCCUGGUGCCUGGAGCUCUUGAGCUCGCCUGUCAGCGCCGGGUUUUCAUGAGUGGAGAUGACUUCAAGUCUGGCCAGACCAAAGUCAAGUCCGUGCUCGUGGUCUUCCUUAUCAGCUCUGGCCUCAAGACCAUGCCCAUCGUGAGUUACAAACACUGGGCAACAACGACGGGCCAGUGGCGCCGUUGCAGUUCCGCUCUAAGGAUGUGUCCAGGAGCAACGUGGUGGACUACAUGGUGCAGAGCGACCCAGUGCUCUAUACGCCCGGCUAGGAGCCGGACCACUGGUAAGUGCCGUAUGUGGGCAACAGCAAGCGUGAGCUGGCUGAGUAUACCUCGGAGCUAAUGCUGGGCGGGACCAACACACUGGUGCUGCACAGCACGUGCGGGGACUCCCUGCUGGCCGCACCCAGCAUGCUAGACCUGGCGCUGCUGACAGAGCUGUGCCAGCGCGUGAGCUUCUGCACUGACGCCGACCCCGAGCUGCAGACCUUCCACCCCGUACUGUCCCUGCUCAGCUUCCUCUUCAAGGUGCCGCCAGUGCCGCCGGGCAGCCUGCCGAUCAAUGCGCUUUUCGGCCAGUGCAGCUGCACCGAGAACAUCCUCAGGGCCCGCCUGGGGCUCCAGCCGCAGAACCACAUGCUCCUGGAGCGUAAGAUGGAGUGCCCAGGGCCCAGCCUCAAGCAAGUCGAACCCCUGGCUGCCGCCUGCCCUGUGACAAACAAGAAAGGACCCGCUUCCACCAACGGCUGCACCGGUGAUGCCAAUGGGCACCCACAAGUGGAGGAACCCCAGAUGCCCACCACCUGAGGCCCCUGUCACACAGCUUCCCAGCCCUUCCUCCCCGCUGUCCCCCAGGACCCCACCUUUCCAGGCUGCCCCAAAGACAAUAAAGCCGCUGCCACUCUCAGCUGUCCUUCCACCUGGGGUUCUUGGGGCCUGGCACCUGGCUCUGCCUUCCUCUACUUCCCCAACUCUGAGCGCCCAGCUUCCCGUCCCAAUCCUUCUGCCCAUGGUUGCCACCCCAACUCCCAGGGAGAGCCCAGAACCCACAGCCUCAGUCGAAUGUGGGGCUAGAUGGGGGGUGGGGUGGGAAACAAGACCACAAGGUGGACAGCGUGGUGGUCGAAGACCAAAGAGGGAAUCAGACACGCUACCAAAAACCAAAACCAGGUUCCAUUUAUUGAUGGGGCCCACCCCCUGACGUCCUGGGGAGAGGGGACCCCCCCCAAAGAGCCCUUCUUUCUGGAACAAAAUACAAAUGGCAGGAAGGGUCCAUACAGAAAAGAACGUCUCUGAGGUCCUUGCGUUUUUAAUAAAAUGAUAAAAGUC